rnacentral:rRNA from 3 species
GGACUACCCGGGUAUCUAAUCCCGUUUGCUCCCCUGGCUUUCGCGCCUCAGCGUCAGAAAAGGUCCAGUGCGCCGCUUUCGCCGCCGGCGUUCCUUCUGAUAUCAACGCAUUUCACCGCUCCACCAGAAGUUCCGCGCACCCCUACCUUCCUCGAGCCCGCCGGUAUCGAAGGCACUUCCACAGUUAAGCUGUGGGAUUUCACCCCCGACCAUGCAGGCCGCCUACGCGCCCUUUAAGCCCAGUGAUUCCGAACAACGUUCGCACGGUUCGUCUUACCGCGGCGGCUGGCAC